UGCAAGUCGAACGGAAAGGCCCUUUCGGGGGUACUCGAGUGGCGAACGGGUGAGUAACACGUGGGUGAUCUGCCCUGCACUUUGGGAUAAGCCUGGGAAACUGGGUCUAAUACCGAAUAGGAUCAUGGCCUUCAUGGGUUGUGGUGGAAAGCUUUUGCGGUGUGGGAUGGGCCCGCGGCCUAUCAGCUUGUUGGUGGGGUAAUGGCCUACCAAGGCGACGACGGGUAGCCGGCCUGAGAGGGUGUCCGGCCACACUGGGACUGAGAUACGGCCCAGACUCCUACGGGAGGCAGCAGUGGGGAAUAUUGCACAAUGGGCGCAAGCCUGAUGCAGCGACGCCGCGUGGGGGAUGACGGCCUUCGGGUUGUAAACCUCUUUCAGUACCGACGAAGCGCAAGUGACGGUAGGUACAGAAGAAGCACCGGCCAACUACGUGCCAGCAGCCGCGGUAAUACGUAGGGUGCGAGCGUUGUCCGGAAUUACUGGGCGUAAAGAGCUCGUAGGUGGUUUGUCGCGUUGUUCGUGAAAACUCACA
rnacentral:rRNA from 1 species